rnacentral:tRNA from 1 species
GGGGGUUUAGCUCAGUGGUAGAGCGCUUGCCUAGCAAGUACAAAGCCCUGGGUUCGGUCCCCAGCUCCA